rnacentral:piRNA from 1 species
AUCUUUGUGGGCCUUAUAUACUCUAAA